CCCGGAGAGGAGGAGGUCAAACUGGCUAAGUUCCUCCACAGGUGACAUGAUCCGUAUUAAAGGCCCCGGAGAGGAGGAGGUCAAACUGGCUAAGUUCCUCCACAGGUGACAUGAUCCGUAUUAAAGGCCCCGGAGAGGAGGAGGUCAAACUGGCUAAGUUCCUCCACAGGUGACAUGAUCCGUAUUAAAGGCCCCGGAGAGGAGGAGGUCAAACUGGCUAAGUUCCUCCACAGGUGACAUGAUCCGUAUUAAAGGCCCCGGAGAGGAGGAGGUCAAACUGGCUAAGUUCCUCCACAGGUGACAUGAUCCGUAUUAAAGGCCCCGGAGAGGAGGAGGUCAAACUGGCUAAGUUCCUCCACAGGUGACAUGAUCCGUAUUAAAGGCCCCGGAGAGGAGGAGGUCAAACUGGCUAAGUUCCUCCACAGGUGACAUGAUCCGUAUUAAAGGCCCCGGAGAGGAGGAGGUCAAACUGGCUAAGUUCCUCCACAGGUGACAUGAUCCGUAUUAAAGGCCCCGGAGAGGAGGAGGUCAAACUGGCUAAGUUCCUCCACAGGUGACAUGAUCCGUAUUAAAGGCCCCGGAGAGGAGGAGGUCAAACUGGCUAAGUUCCUCCACAGGUGACAUGAUCCGUAUUAAAGGCCCCGGAGAGGAGGAGGUCAAACUGGCUAAGUUCCUCCACAGGUGACAUGAUCCGUAUUAAAGGCCCCGGAGAGGAGGAGGUCAAACUGGCUAAGUUCCUCCACAGGUGACAUGAUCCGUAUUAAAGGCCCCGGAGAGGAGGAGGUCAAACUGGCUAAGUUCCUCCACAGGUGACAUGAUCCGUAUUAAAGGCCCCGGAGAGGAGGAGGUCAAACUGGCUAAGUUCCUCCACAGGUGACAUGAUCCGUAUUAAAGGCCCCGGAGAGGAGGAGGUCAAACUGGCUAAGUUCCUCCACAGGUGACAUGAUCCGUAUUAAAGGCCCCGGAGAGGAGGAGGUCAAACUGGCUAAGUUCCUCCACAGGUGACAUGAUCCGUAUUAAAGGCCCCGGAGAGGAGGAGGUCAAACUGGCUAAGUUCCUCCACAGGUGACAUGAUCCGUAUUAAAGGCCCCGGAGAGGAGGAGGUCAAACUGGCUAAGUUCCUCCACAGGUGACAUGAUCCGUAUUAAAGGCCCCGGAGAGGAGGAGGUCAAAC